rnacentral:rRNA from 1 species
UACGGAGGGUGCGAGCGUUGUCCGGAAUCACUGGGCGUAAAGCGUCUGUAGGUGGUCAAAUAAGUCAACUGUUAAAUCUUGAGGCUCAACCUCAAAAUCGCAGUCGAAACUAUUAGACUAGAGUAUAGUAGGGGUAAAGGGAAUUUCCAGUGGAGCGGUGAAAUGCGUAGAGAUUGGAAAGAACACCGAUGGCGAAGGCACUUUACUGGGCUAUUACUAACACUCAGAGACGAAAGCUAGGGUAGCAAAUGGG